UACGUAGGGCGCAAGCGUUUGUCCGGAAUUAUUGGGCGUAAAGAGCUCGUAGGUGGCUUGUCACGUCGGGUGUGAAAGCUUGGGGCUUAACUCCAGGUCUGCAUUCGAUACGGGCUGGCUAGAGUUCGGUAGGGGACCACGGAAUUCCUGGUGUAGCGGUGAAAUGCGCAGAUAUCAGGAGGAACACCGGUGGCGAAGGCGGUGGUCUGGGCCGACACUGACGCUAUAGAGCGAAAGCGUGGGGAGCGAACAGG
rnacentral:rRNA from 1 species